GACGAACGCUGGCGGCGUGCUUAACACAUGCAAGUCGAACGGGCUCUGUCUGGCUGUGUGCUGGGUGGGGUUAGUGGCGAACGGGUGAGUAAUACGUGAGUAACCUGCCCUCUUCUUUGGGAUAAGCCUUGGAAACGGGGUCUAAUACUGGAUAUUCCUGUCUGGUCGCAUGGCUGGGUGGGGAAAGUUUUUUCGGUGGGGGAUGGGCUCGCGGCCUAUCAGCUUGUUGGUGGGGUGAUGGCCUACCAAGGCGUCGACGGGUAGCCGGCCUGAGAGGGUGACCGGCCACACUGGGACUGAGAUACGGCCCAGACUCCUACGGGAGGCAGCAGUGGGGGAUAUUGCACAAUGGGCGCAAGCCUGAUGCAGCGACGCCGCGUGGGGGAUGACGGCUUUCGGGUUGUAAACCUCUUUCGUCGGGGGACAAGGCUCUGCUUGGUGGUGGGGUUGAGGGUACCCGGUGAAGAAGCGCCGGCUAACUACGUGCCAGCAGCCGCGGUAAUACGUAGGGCGCGAGCGUUGUCCGGAAUUAUUGGGCGUAAAGGGCUCGUAGGCGGCUUGUCGCGUCUGCUGUGAAAAUGUGGGGCUUAACUCCGUACGUGCAGUGGGUACGGGCAGGCUAGAGUGCGGUAGGGGUGACUGGAAUUGCUGGUGAACCGUGGCUUGCGCACAUAUCAAGAGGUACACGGAGGGGAAGGCAGGCACUGCGGUGUUACUGACCUGAAGGCGGACCCUCUGGGCGUGGAAGAAUAGGG
rnacentral:rRNA from 1 species